rnacentral:lncRNA from 1 species
AGAUCAGCGCCGUUUUUACAAGACCCCUAAAACCUAUACACACAGGAGAAUUAGCGCCGUUUGAACAAAAAGAGACGACCAACCCCCCAUCACCACCUUUCUUCGAUCUUGAGAACAAAAAAAUCCCUCACCCUUCCACCGUCAAACACACCUAGAACUCCUCCAUAAUAGCUCCAACCUAACAAUGGUACAGACACAAUUAGCGACCUUCGCUGACUCCCCCCCCCCUCCCCUUUUUCGUCGCCUGAGACAACAACAAAAACAGAUCUAAGAAGGAUGGACGAAGGAGACGAGUACAACGACAACGUAUAAGGAGAUUCGAAGUUUGAUUUCGGAUUCAAAGCCUACUGAUUUUCGUUCCAUAGUUUCUCUCGCUUUUCUGCUUUCGAUUCUAAAAGCCAUGGAAUCCGAUGGAGCUUUGAUUGAGGCUUGAUACGCCGUUGAUUUGAGGGUUGUCGUUUGUGGUGGAAGUUCGUGGUUUCUGCUGGUUUUUAGCCGCUGAUUUCGCUCGAAUUUAGAGUCGAAACUUGGUACUCGACAAUUCUUCUACCAAUAUUAAGGAAGUCUUUGUUUAAACAGGUUCUUCUCAUCAUUAAUUCAUCUUCUUCCAUUUUCAGGUUGUGAAUAUAGGUACCCAAGAGCUAGGUUAAGAUGAGUUUUCUUUUACAUGUGUUUAUGUGGUGAUAUAAUUGUUAUGGUGCAUUUAUGAGUUAAUUUCCAGUCGUUUGAUUUUUCCGAAUCUGAUUUCCCUCGGUUUAAUUAGCUUCUUGUAUUCUAUCACUGUUGGUAUAAUACAAUGUAAAAAUGUUAAGGGAAGAUGUUGAGUCAACAGUCAACAACACAUCUGAUUCUUCUUGGCUUAAGUAAACUUCGAUAAUGUUGAGUCACGAACCAUAGAAAUUUGUUAUAAGUCGU